rnacentral:rRNA from 1 species
AUUGAACGCUGGCGGAAUGCUUUACACAUGCAAGUCGAACGGCAGCACGGACUUCGGUCUGGUGGCGCGUGGCGAACGGGUGAGUAAUGUAUCGGAACGUGCCCAGUCGUGGGGGAUAACGUAGUGAAAAUUACGCUAAUACCGCAUACGAUCUGUGGAUGAAAGCGGGGGAUCGCAAGACCUCGCGCGAUUGGAGCGGCCGAUAUCAGAUUAGGUAGUUGGUGGCGUAAAGGCCCACCAAGCCAACGAUCUGUAGCUGGUCUGAGAGGACGAACAGCCACACUGGAACUGAGACACGGUCCAGACUCCUACGGGAGGCGGCAGUGGGGAAUUUUGGACGAUGGGCGAAAGCCUGAUCCAGCCAUUCCGCGUGCAGGAUGAAGGCCCUCGGGUUGUAAACUGCUUUUGUACAGAACGAAAAGGUUUCUACUAAUACUAGGAGCUCAUGACGGUACUGUAAGAAUAAGCACCGGCUAACUACGUGCCAGCCGCCGCGGUAA